GUACCACCUACAGUUAAAUGCAGCUCACCACCAGACACAUCAACAUAUGGAGCAGGGGAAUCCACACUGUAGACCUGCAGCUUCUGGGGAUGGAGUGAUUCCAUGUGUAUAACAAUUCCAUGUCUUGUUUGAGCUUGGCCUUGGAGUGAAUGUCCACGACCUCUCGCUGCCACUGUAAGCUGUGAAUGAGUGCCCAUCAUCCAGAUGUGUCGUAUCGUUGAGGCGAUGUCGCUUACCGAUUUGGGAUGUAAGACCGCCAAAGGGAUCAACUGGUAUCGAUUUCCAAAAUCUUUGGAGGCGUGAUGGACAUGUUCAAACUCCAAAUGGCCUACUAGGGGAAGCGCCUUCAAAGAAGAAAUGCUGCUAGAGAAGCAGCAAGCCAACUUAAAGGCUAUGCAGCUGAGAAGCAAGAUGGUGAAACUUCUUACUAUAAGCAUGGUUCUUUUCCUGAGGAGGCUUGCAUGUAGAUAGCUCAUAAGGCCUCUUGAUUUCUGAGAGACAAGAGUAUAGAAACCAAGGAUGGAAAAGGGUUUUUGAUCUUAUAAAUAAAUAAAUAAAAAAGUAGUGUGAUUUCUGAAUGGCCGAGGCAACCAAUCUCCGAAUGGGGACUGAUUGUCUAACAAAGGGUUAUAAAUAGCUUUAUAGUUGAGGCCUCUCCCUUUCUUUGUUGGCGGAGAGAAGCCAUAAAGGAGGAGCCUAGUUGAAGGAAAAAGUCACAAGAAAGAAAGAUCUCACGAAUCUUUUUAUCUUUUGAUAACAGUUACACCCACAAUCUUGGCUUUUUCAAAGAAAAGGCAGACAAGAUCAUACCAUAACACUUUUACUUUGAAACUUACCAUUUGAAGGAUUCCCUUUAUUUAUUUAUCCUCUUAUCCCAUAUGUUUCCAGUCGUAGGUAUGGUAUUUGCUUUUUAGGCUGAGAUGUAUUAUAUGUGGUCUUUUU
rnacentral:lncRNA from 1 species